rnacentral:rRNA from 1 species
CUACGGGUUGCAGCAGUGGGGAAUAUUGGACAAUGGGCGCAAGCCUGAUCCAGCAAUGCCGCGUGAGUGAAGACGGCCUUAGGGUUGUAAAACUCUUUCGCUAGGGAAGAUAAUGACUGUACCUAGUAAAGAAGUCCCGGCUAACUCCGUGCCAGCAGCCGCGGUAAUACGGAGGGGACUGGCGUUGUUCGGAAUUACUGGGCGUAAAGAGUUCGUAGGCGGACUGACAAGUUAGAGGUGAAAUCCCAGGGCUCAACCCUGGAACUGCCUUUAAAACUGUCACUCUAGAGACCGGAAGAGGUUAGGGGAAUACCUAGUGUAGAGGUGAAAUUCGUAGAUAUUAGGUGGAACACCAGUGGCGAAGGCGAUCACCUGGCCAGAUACUGACGCUGAGGUGCGAAAGCGUGGGGAGCAAACAGGAUUAGAUACCCGUGUAGUC